GAUGAACGCUGGCGGCGUGCUUAACACAUGCAAGUCGAACGGGAAACAUUUUAUUGAAGCUUCGGCAGAUUUAGCUUGUUUCUAGUGGCGGACGGGUGAGUAACGCGUGGGUAACCUGCCUCACACUGGGGGAUAACAGUCAGAAAUGGCUGCUAAUACCGCAUAAGCGCACAGGACCGCAUGGUCUGGUGUGAAAAACUCCGGUGGUAUAAGAUGGACCCGCGUCUGAUUAGCUAGUUGGUGGGGUAACGGCUUACCAAGGCAAUGAUGCAUAGCCGAGUUGAGAGACUGAUCGGCCACAUUGGGACUGAGACACGGCCCAA
rnacentral:rRNA from 1 species